GGGCGGUGAUGAAUAAUUAGAGAAAGUCAUGCACCACGCUGAGUGAUGAAGUGCUGAUAACUCUCUCUCACCCAUUUCAAAUCUGAGCCC